AUUGAACGCUGGCGGCAGGCCUAACACAUGCAAGUCGAGCGGAUGAAGGUAGCUUGCUACCUGAUUCAGCGGCGGACGGGUGAGUAAUGCCUAGGAAUCUGCCUGGUAGUGGGGGACAACGUUUCGAAAGGAACGCUAAUACCGCAUACGUCCUACGGGAGAAAGCAGGGGACCUUCGGGCCUUGCGCUAUCAGAUGAGCCUAGGUCGGAUUAGCUAGUAGGUGAGGUAAUGGCUCACCUAGGCGACGAUCCGUAACUGGUCUGAGAGGAUGAUCAGUCACACUGGAACUGAGACACGGUCCAGACUCCUACGUGAGGCAGCAGUGGGGAAUAUUGGACAAUGGGCGAAAGCCUGAUCCAGCCAUGCCGCGUGUGUGAAGAAGGUCUUCGGAUUGUGAAGCACUUUAAGUUGGGAGGAAGGGCAGUAAGUUAAUACCUUGCUGUUUUGACGUUACCAACAGAAUAAGCACCGGCUAACUUCGUGCCAGCCGCCGCAGUAAUAC
rnacentral:rRNA from 1 species